ACGGAAGGCAGCAGUGGGGAAUAUUGCACAAUGGGGGAAACCCUGAUGCAGCGACGCCGCGUGAAGGAAGAAGUAUCUCGGUAUGUAAACUUCUAUCAGCAGGGAAGAAAGUGACGGUACCUGACUAAGAAGCCCCGGCUAACUACGUGCCAGCAGCCGCGGUAAUACGUAGGGGGCAAGCGUUAUCCGGAUUUACUGGGUGUAAAGGGAGCGUAGACGGCAAGACAAGUCUGAAGUGAAAGGCAUGGGCUCAACCUGUGGACUGCUUUGGAAACUGCCUUGCUUGAGUGCCGGAGGGGUAAGCGGAAUUCCUAGUGUAGCGGUGAAAUGCGUAGAUAUUAGGAGGAACACCAGUGGCGAAGGCGGCUUACUGGACGGUAACUGACGUUGAGGCUCGAAAGCGUGGGGAGCAAGCAGGAUUAGAUACCCUGGUA
rnacentral:rRNA from 1 species